rnacentral:rRNA from 1 species
UUUGUUGAAAGGGAAGGGCAUUAGAUCAGACUUGGUGUUUUACGAUUAUCUUCUCUUCUUGAGUUGUGCACUCGUAUUUCACUGGGCCAGCAUCGAUUCGGAUGGCAAGAUAAUGGCAGUUGAAUGUGGCUUCACUUCGGUGGAGUGUUAUAGCUUCUGCUGAUAU